UACAGAGGGGGCAAGCGUUGUUCGGAAUUACUGGGCGUAAAGGGCGCGUAGGCGGCCUUCUAAGUCAUGCGUGAAAUCCCCGGGCUCAACCCGGGAACUGCGUCUGAUACUGGAAGGCUCGAAUCCGGGAGAGGGAUGUGGAAUUCCAGGUGUAGCGGUGAAAUGCGUAGAUAUCAGGAGGAACACCGGUGGCGAAGGCGGUUCUCUGGUACGUGACUGACGCUGAGACGCGAAAGCGUGGGGAGCAAACAGG
rnacentral:rRNA from 1 species